CGGGCCCCUGGGUCCCGAGUCCAGCCGCCGGGGGCGCUCGCGGCACCUGGAGCCCGGGCGGCAGAAGCCCGUAAGGGGGCAGCCCGGUCCUCGCCACUGGGCUGCACUUAAAAAAGCCCCCAAAGAAAGACACAAGUGGCAGUGUGAAUGUGGCUUUGUCAGCAGGAGCGCCAGCACCGAGGCCAAAAGAGGGCAUCCUGCCCAUUGGGCCAGGCCUUCCACCCCCGAUGGCCACAAUAAAUGGUCCAAGCUUUGCUACUGAUGCCCCCUGUUCAGCAUUCUGUGACACCACAGAUACCAGAAGAGAGACAUCAGAGCCACCAGGAAGGUUAGCAUGAGAUUUCUGAUACCUGUGAUGCUCAAGAGAGCCACACUUUCCUUGUAAAGCCAGCAGAGAGAGCAGAUUCAAAUACAGAGGGAAAAUAAUUUUAUAUGGUUAAAUUAGAACUGAUUCCUGACAUAAUUAUUGGGUGCUGAUGUAACGCCGACAGACUGUUGUCAGCGGGCAGGGUUGAACUUAGGGCUUCUGGAGCUUAGUGCGUGAGCCUCUACCAUGGGAAUUAAAAGCUAAUGGGCUGUUAGCUAAGGCUGUAGAGCAGACUCUUUAACUCUCUUUAAGCAGUCUCGGUGUCGCUAGAGGGGACAGAACAACACACCUUGGAGGUGUGUGGGUUACACUGAUGUUAUCACAAGAGCCCCCAAAAGAUCAUAUCAAAGGUUUAGUUUGGAAAUAUCUCUGUUCUUCAAAUUGACAUAAUACAUCAGUGCGAUCCAGAGCUGCUUCACGUGUAGUUCUCUUUUAGAACAGUCUGUCUGCUAUUACGUAAUUUAGUAAAACAUGACUGACACUAUGCCCCAUAUUCUUCAGAGAAAUAUUAUUACACGAUAAUAGCAUAACUGAGAUGUAUUUGAUGUCAGAGGGGUUAUGUGAGGUAUCAGUGGAAAGGUUAUGAUUUACUGGAUAUGAUUUUCCGAUCGGUAUCCAUGUCUCAUUUUGGUAUCUGAAGUUAGUAAUACUGACUGUGUAUCAAUUACAAGUGGGUUUUCACCUCGGGAACGCCCACCAGACAAUGCAAUCAGUCUGGAUGGGCCAUUAGGAAAAACACUAAGUCUUUGAAGAUGCUAAUGUCCCACCUUCCUGUAGACCCAGCAAACAGACUUUGAGUUGUGGCUGCGGAGUCAUGUGAUCAUGUCACCUGAUAUGGGACUCCCAGAUAAAAUUAGUACUUUUCCACUGACCGGAGGUGGGUGUGGGGCUCACACUGGAAAACAAAGGAUUCCGGCCGUAUGUAAAAUCUAUUUAAGGCAAGAGAGUGACAUAAUCAGUGUUUGUUCUUCACUGAAUCCCACUGCUGUGUGAAACAAAGACUGGUGGGAGGGGAGGGACAAGACAGGCUGAAGACAGGCUGGAAAGCGGUCCAGCCUGUGAAAGAAACAUCGGACGUUUUAACCUGCAAGCAAGAGUUUUAAGUUGUCUUCAAGAACCUCUGCAAUCUGCCCAAAAUAAAAUUUAGGGUGAGAAAUGGAUGCUUAUAACCAGUUUCUUUAGCAUAUUGAGCUUAGCUUGCGUGUUUGUUUUAUUUGCCAGGUAAUCUGCUUCGAUCUCUGUGCUAUCCCUUAUAACAACUCAAAA